AGCACUGCAAUGGUUUUUAUACACGACACUUGUUUCUUGUUCCUAUAGAUUAGGAUGUCCAAGAAGUUUUUCCUAUUCCUAAAUCCAAUUUGUUAUUUUUCCUCUAGUAGGCAUCCAUAUUUGGUCUUUUUGUUUCAAUUGCUUUCUCAUAUUUUCAUUGUAGCUUACACACAUAAAACUUGUCUAAUGAAGCUGUGUUAUUGAUGUCUUAUUAAUCUACAAACUGUUUGAUGAAAUGCUUGACUGACUUUUUCUCCUUUUUCUUCAUGUUUUUGUUGAAUGUGUGAGUAUCACAAAGCUUGAAAAACGCACGGAGUCCAUAACUGAGGUAGCGCACCAGCCCUCUUUUGAAUUUGUGAAGAGUAAGGCAGGAGGAGAGCGCAUCCAAUAAAUGCUUAGAAUCUGGAACUGAGAUAUUCCGCCUGGUUGGGGGACUUUUGGGUUCUGGAUACUGAUAUAUGGCAAUGGUCUGAAUUAACUAGCUUUGGUGACUUGCCUUCAUCGAGGGAUUUCACUGCAGCUUCAGCAAUUGGAAACCGGAAAAUUGUUAUGUGUGGUGGAUGGGAUGGAAAAAAGUGGUUAUCUGAUGUUUAUGUCAUGGACACAAGUAUUUUAAGGAGGAGGUGGACCAAUUAUGGGCGAUUUAUGGGCAUUGAAGGGCCUUAUUGAAGAAGGCAAAUGAAAAACUUAGAGGAUGAUGCUUAUAGCUUUGGAUUCAUACUACUUGAGGCACUUGUUGGACCCUCAGUAUCUGCUAAAAGAGAAGCAAGUGUGCUCAGUGCCA